rnacentral:misc_RNA from 1 species
GAGGAAAGAGAAACAGCAGGGGAUAUAGGGUUUGAUUUGAUGUUUUACUUUUCCAAGCUAAUUCAAAUCCAGUGUGUUAUUUUGAUUCAAUAUCCAAAUUUUGCUAGAUUUUAGUUGCAUGUCGGUUAUGCCAUAAUAUUGUUUAUGAAUUUUUCAGCGAGACUUCAUAGAGUUUCUUUUGCUUGAUUUUGUGAUGGCCAUUUUCUGUUUUGUUCAAUUUAG